GAUGAAGAACGUAGCGAAAUGCGAUAAGUAAUGUGAAUUGCAGAAUUCAGUGAAUCAUCGAAUCUUUGAACGCACAUUGCGCCCCCUGGUAUUCCGGGGGGCAUGCCUGUCCGAGCGUCAUUACAACCCUCAAGCUCAGCUUGGUGUUGGGCCCCGCCGCCCCGGCGGGCCCUAAAGUCAGUGGCGGUGCCGUCCGGCUCCGAGCGUAGUAAUUCUUCUCGCUCUGGAGGUCCGGUCGUGUGCUCGCCAGCAACCCCCCAUUUUUUUCAGGUUGCCCUCGGAUCAGGUAGGGAUACCCGCUGAACUUAAGCAUAUCAAUAAGCGGAGGA
rnacentral:misc_RNA from 1 species